AACGAACGCUGGCGGCAGGCUUAACACUUGCAAGUCGAGCGCCCCGCAAGGGGAGCGGCAGACGGGUGAGUAACGCGUGGGAACCUACCUAGAGGUGCGGAAUAACUCAGGGAAACUUGAGCUAAUACCGCAUGAGCCCGAGAGGGGAAAGAUUUAUCGCCUUUAGAUGGGCCCGCGUCAGAUUAGCUAGUUGGUGAGGUAACGGCUCACCAAGGCGACGAUCUGUAGCUGGUCUGAGAGGAUGAUCAGCCACAUUGGGACUGAGACACGGCCCAAACUCCUACGGGAGGCAGCAGUGGGGAAUAUUGGACAAUGGGCGCAAGCCUGAUCCAGCCAUGCCGCGUGAGUGAUGACGGCCUUAGGGUUGUAAAGCUCUUUCGACGGGGACGAUAAUGACGGUACCCGUAGAAGAAGCCCCGGCUAACUUCGUGCCAGCCGCCGCAGUAA
rnacentral:rRNA from 1 species